rnacentral:rRNA from 1 species
AACGAACGCUGGCGGCAGGCUUAACACAUGCAAGUCGAGCGAAGACUUCGGUCUUAGCGGCGGACGGGUGAGUAACGCGUGGGAACAUACCCUUUGCUACGGAACAGUCCCGGGAAACUGGGUUUAAUACCGUAUACGCCCUUCGGGGGAAAGAUUUAUCGGCAAAGGAUUGGCCCGCGUUGGAUUAGGUAGUUGGUGGGGUAAAGGCCUACCAAGCCGACGAUCCAUAGCUGGUUUGAGAGGAUGAUCAGCCACACUGGGACUGAGACACGGCCCAGACUCCUACGGGAGGCAGCAGUGGGGAAUCUUAGACAAUGGGGGCAACCCUGAUCUAGCCAUGCCGCGUGAGUGAUGAAGGUCUUUCGGGAUUGUAAACUUCUUUUAUAUAGGAAGAGAAAGGACUGUACUGUAUGAAUAAGUCCCGGCUAACUACGUGCCAGCCGCCGCCGUAAAAC